AACCGAAUCACAUGACGUAUAAAGGGAAUAUAAGGAAGUAACAUUGACAAUUUUCCAACAUAUUGCGAAUGUCAUCAUUUCAUGUUCACAUACUCUCUUUGAAUUUUGGAAUCUACGGUCAGUUGAAACAUACAGGACCUCCUUGCAUUUCCAUCCAUGUUCACCGAAGGAUGAUGUCCAUUUCUACACACAUAAUACAUGUACUUAGCCUUUGUAUCAUCAUCUCAAGAAGCUAUGGAGUUUACAUCUCCUGGAAAGUUGCGACUAACGCACCAUCUAGGACUGAUCACGGGAAGAUUCUUAACUGCAUCGCAUCACAUCCAGAACUACCAGAAAACCUUCAAUGCUCAGUUCAUCUGAGUGUUCAUGUUCUUCCUAUGAGAGUGUUACUCUUUCAACUUGGGGGUAGCCAGUCCCGGUCAAGACUCAUG